rnacentral:lncRNA from 13 species
AUUUGGACCACUUUAACUCUGUGCAUAAUUGUCCCCAGGCAGGAAGAGCUGCUUUCCGCUUUGCUCUCUUGUGUUGCUUAGUUCUGCAAGCUCAUAAGGCAGGGACAGAUUGUGAUUUCGAUUGGGGACAUUUUCCCCAAUGUAUUAUGCCACCAACCAGUGAAGAACUGCCAAAGGCAUGAGAAAAUGCCUUGUGCCAUGUGUCCACGCCCACACAGAGGAAGGAGAGUCCUUGGCCUAGGAGGGAGCUGUGGAAGUCACACAGCUCUACUGUGCACUUCAGCAGGGGAGAGGUAUGCUGUGGCUGCAGGGAGUUCAUGCUCUUCCAGCAAGCCAAGCUGGGGUCACCUUGAUUCCACCUCCAUCUCAGGACAAAAAGGGAGGUGAGGUUUUUCCAAGGAAAGGAUUGCAUCACAAAACAAACAGUUAAGCAUUUACCAUCUGGGAAAUAAGGGAAAGGAUGGUACUUGUACUCUCUCACUGGAUGAUAGUUUUGUUGCACGAGAGGGAGAUAAUCUCCAGAACUACUUCCAUAGGUGUGGUGGAAGGUGGUAAAUGGGUGGUAAAGAAAGUGGAAGAAGACUGGGGUUAAGGUGCCUAGUUAAAUUGGCUAAAAUUAUUCUAUUUAUUGUCUAUGCCACAAUGCUUCUAAACAAUGCUGAGUCCUGGGUUUCCAAAAUCGAGAAUCUAGCAGUUAAAUAGAUAAUUGUGCAUUCCCCUGUUAGCUGGGGUGCCUCACAUGGUUCCUAGCCUGGACUUUUACAGGCACACAGGUGUUAUCAAGAGACAUGAUUUGAGCUUAAGAGGCAUUGUAAAAAUGCUCCACACACUGGAGAAUCAGAUCCUGGCUGUUGUGGGGCCUCCGUUCUCUGGGCAUUCAGAUUCUCCUGUUUAACUGUGAAGAGUUACACUGCUUACAGGUAAAGAGUUUCACAGUAAGGCAUUGCAGUUUGUCUCACGUAAGAAGUGAUCUGUACAUGCAUGGAAAUCUGUCUCACUGUAAUAAAGUGCACAGAUAUAUAGACACAUAUAUAUGUAUAUGCCUCAUACAUUAUUCAUGAACACUGGAUGAGAGAUAGUAGAAAAGCUAUACUAUCCUAUACCAUCCAUAAGGAUCUAUGUGAAUAAGGAACUCUGCCAUAAUAAAACCACAUUACAUUUAGCACUUUUUAACACUCCAAACCACUACACACUUUCAUUGACGG